CAGUGCUGCAGCAGCAGCACAAACUGGACCGCUCCGCGCCCCUCAGAGGCUCCUGGCAGCCACCGCCAUUUCCCCUCGGUGGCCUCUUGAGGCCCUCCUACUUGCUCAGGACCAUGAUGGCAGGGGGGCUGCCACAAGAGGCUGCUGGUCGCCCCAAGGGGCCGGUGCAGAGGAGGUAGGGGAGAAGGGGCUGCCCGCCAUCGCCUCUCCUGGAGGGCCAAGAGCCAGGAGGUCGUCGAGGCGCAGCCGCACACAACAUGGCGGCUGUGAGGCACUAAUGUGAAGACUGAGGCAGCGGCUCAGGCGGUGGAGGUGGACACUAAUGAAUGACUGCAGUGCUGCCCUGAGUGAGGGGGUCCCCACUAUUAAAAGUUUAAUAGAAAGAUCUGAGAAGCUGGGAGCCAAGAGGAGGAGGAGGGGACAAGGAGCUGUGAGUAACUCAAGUUUUUUGUUGCAGGUUGAGGCCACCAAAAUGUUUGGGGUCCUGGGGUACUGGAGGGUGCUGCUUGCGUUGCAAGGGGCAGCCAGGGAGCGAUGACAGGAGCAGCUGCCUUGCGCUCGAGAUCUCUUCUAGAAGGCAAUGCAAGAACGUUUUGAGCCUGUAGAAGCAUCCGGAAAAGAGCACUAAUACCUGAAUUUGAUGCUUGAUCUCUUUGAAACAGUCCAAUGAAGAAAAGGCCUCCAGAAAUGGUGUUUCCUAUCCAACCUGUCAGAACAGGUUUCUUAAGAUUGCUGUCGGACAGAACAUGCCGGAUUCCUGUUUGGAAAUAUCUGGAGCGGAUCCACAAGGCUUACUUGGGUUUUCCUUUCUCACUGCCUCUUCUUCCCUCCUUCCAAACAUCGGUCUUCUGACUGAAAUACGGCAUCGGGACAGAUGUAAGGCUGAUAGCUUUACUCGCAGAGUAACUUCUGGAGCUGAGUUAGAUGUCUUCUGGUGAGAAUAUUUCAGGGGGCUGCAUUUUCCUAAGCAUUGCGAGGAUACAAUGUCUGUGCUCUUCUGAUUUUUUUUAAACAGACCGCAGUUUUAAGUCUGCUCUAAAAUUUGUCCUUUGCUUUUUUCUUAAACUUAACCCAUUUAACUCAUUUAUUUGAUAACAUGAUAGUAAUCAGAUUGUACUUGAAGUCAACAUAUGCUUUAAUGUUGCUCUGAAUACAGUUGCUCUUCUGAGCUGAGGCCUGUGUUUGGAGCUUAAAUCUGAUUCUGGGACUUGAGAAAAUAUAAAAAUAGGUUGCUCCUGAGAACACAGACUGACAAUUUCUGCUCUUCCCUCUGUCUUCCAUAGACACAACAUUAAAGUUCAAUUAUUGCAUGAGACUCAUUCAUAUUUUCUUGAUAUUCAUUAUUAUUUUAAGAACGCUUCAGUGUUCUUACUAGGCACAGUUCUGAAAACCUGCAAGGACUGGAAGUUUCUCCUUUUCUUACCACGAUAAAAAGAAGUGCUUGAGAGAAAUAAGUGCUGCGUGACAAGCAUCGUUAUUACACUCCUUGGUGUUGUGCUCACUUCUUAUGCCAGUAAAAAUUUCUUUUCACUUUUCUUAAAGCGCUAUCUUAAUAUUAAGGGUUUUAUAUUUUUUGGUGGAAGCUGUUAAACUGACUGCCGUAAUGAUCGUGUUCUUUUCAGUAGUCACUCAGAGCAGAUAGAUUGGAGGGAAUUGCAAUGCAAAACUCCCCUUAAAGCGUGUCAGGUGAAAUCUGAAGAUCGCUUCUGAUUGUAUCCCUUUCUAUUUGGUUUUGGGCUUUUUUGCCACAGCUGCAGACUAUAUUCCAAAUUACUGAUAAUAACGACAAGCUGCUCUGCAAUCUUGUCACAAGCACACUGGAACAACAUUCAGUCUCUCCUAAGCGUGACUGCAACUCUACAUGAUCCAGAACCUGGGGGUCUGUGCUGUUCCCUUUUGGUGAACGUGGCGAUGGAGGUUGGGGGAACAGCUGACUUUUAGGUUAACUAACUCUGCAGUUAGCUACAGCCCAAGAUUUCCGGAUUUUCUCAUCUAGUCACAGCCUUCUCUUGUGUGGCUUGUGUAAUAAGAGAAGCCAGAGCUAAGUGAACUGGAGAGGUCAGUAAAAUACUAUUGUUCAGUCCUGUUCCUUGCUUAUAAAUUAAGUUGUUCCUAUUUGCAGAGAUGUCCUUUCAGUUGUAACGCUUCUGCUUUUACUAACAGGCCAAAGAAUAAAAGUGUUUAGCAAUAGUAAGUUAAUAAAAUCUUAUAAAAUGAGACAAAUCACCCUGCAUCUGAAAACAAAACAAAACAAAAAACAUGGAAUCUGUAAACAAGCGACUGAUGAAAAACACCUCUAACUGCAUUUUAUUUGAAGAAUAAAAAGAACACAAGUCUUUGAGCUGGUUAAGAGAAGCUAUCUAUACCUGCUUCUUUUGAAUCCUUCUUCAGGAAUAAUAUUUUUCAGGGCUUGAUGCUUGC